GUGGUUGUGGCUCAGUUGGUUGAGCAUUGUCUUGUGGAGCAAAAGGUCGCUGGUUUGAUUCCCGGUCAGGCACA
rfam:Myotis brandtii contig204899, whole genome shotgun sequence.